GAUGAACGCUGGCGGCGUGCCUAAUACAUGCAAGUCGAGCGAACGGACGAGAAGCUUGCUUCUCUGAUGUUAGCGGCGGACGGGUGAGUAACACGUGGAUAACCUACCUAUAAGACUGGGAUAACUUCGGGAAACCGGAGCUAAUACCGGAUAAUAUUUUGAACCGCAUGGUUCAAAAGUGAAAGACGGUCUUGCUGUCACUUAUAGAUGGAUCCGCGCUGCAUUAGCUAGUUGGUAAGGUAACGGCUUACCAAGGCAACGAUGCAUAUCCGACCUGAGAGGGUGAUCGGCCACACGGGAAGUGAGACACGGUCCAGACGCCUACGGGAGGCAGCAGUAGGGAAUCUUCCGCAAUGGGCGAAAGCCUGACGGAGCAACGCCGCGUGAGUGAUGAAGGUCUUCGGAUCGUAAAACUCUGUUAUUAGGGAAGAACAUAUGUGUAAGUAACUGUGCACAUCUUGACGGUACCUAAUCAGAAAGCCACGGCUAACUACGUG
rnacentral:rRNA from 1 species